rnacentral:rRNA from 1 species
AAAUGGUACAGACUAACAGGAUUCCCCUAGUAACUGCGAGUGAAGCGGGAAAAGCUCAAAUUUAAAAUCUGGCAGUCUCUGGCUGUCCGAGUUGUAAUCUAGAGAAGUAAUGCCCGUGCUGGACCGUGUAUAAGUCUCCUGGGAUGGGGCGUCAUAGAGGGUGAGAAUCCCGUCUUUGACACGGACUACCAGUGCAUUGUGGUAUGCUCUCAAAGAGUCGAGUUGUUUGGGAAUGCAGCUCAAAAUGGGUGGUAAAUUCCAUCUAAAGCUAAAUAUUGGCGAGAGACCGAUAGCGAACAAGUACCGUGAGGGAAAGAUGAAAAGAACUUUGGAAAGAGAGUUAAACAGUACGUGAAAUUGCUGAAAGGGAAACGCUUGAAGUCAGUCGCGUUGGCCGGGAAUCAGCCUUGCUUUUGCAUGGUGUACUUUCUGGUUGACGGGUCAGCAUCAAUUUUGACCGCUGGAAAAAGACCUGGGGAAUGUGGCAGCUUCGGCUGUGUUAUAGCCCCUAGUYGCAUACAGUGGUUGGGAUUGAGGAACUCAGCACGCCGCAAGGCCGGGUUUCGACCACGUCCGUGCUUAGGAUGCUGGCAUAAUGGCUUUAAGCGACCCGUCUUGAAACACGGACCAAGGAGUCUAACAUGCCUGCGAGUAUUUGAGUGGAAAACCCAAGUGCGCAAUGAAAGUGAAAGUUGAGAUCCCUGUCGUGGGGAGCAUCGACGCCCGGACCAGAACUUUUGGGACGGAUCCGCGGUGGAGCAUGUAUGUUGGGACCCGAAAGAUGGUGAACUAUGCCUGAAUAGGGUGAAGCCAGAGGAAACUCUGGUGGAGGCUCGUAGCGAUUCUGACGUGCAAAUCGAUCGUCAAAUUUGGGUAUAGGGGCGAAAGACUAAUCGAACCAUCUAGUAGCUGGGUUCCUGCGA